rnacentral:misc_RNA from 1 species
AAAAAGUUUAUUAAAUCGAUCCUCAAUUUUUCAUUCGAGUUUAAGUCAUUUAAAUUUUGUAUGAAUUGAAAGGAACUAUUGGUGGCUUUAAGUCUAAUGGAUGGAGUUAAAAUUUACCACCUUUAUUAUAUAAAAAUAAUUUCAGGUCAAUUUACAUGGUUUCUUUUUGAGUCACUUACAAAAUUAUUUUUAUAAAAUUUUUAUUUUAAA